AAGAAGUUACACAACACAGAGUCAUUUCAUUUUUUCAAAUGAAUGUGAAUUAACAUGACUUUUAUUGCAAGCAUUUUACAGCAUUCCUUGAAACAACUUGCAACGCCCUGGCUAAAAGGAAUACCAUUUUUUAAAAAAUAAACUAGAGCAAUUGUGUAGCUAUUACAGCACUGUAGGCACCACGUGACCGUCACUGCAACAGUCCUAGGAAAUAGCAGAGAGCAGUUGUAACUUCAAUCUGGGACACAAAGCGAGAGAGGCAAAGUUCCCAGGAGGUCCAGACACACUUCCUGCAAAAGGGCUCGAGGACAUCUCCUUAGAUCUUUCCACUAAACCCCUCUUUACUUGAGCUUGUUUCAGUUUGUUUUCAAUCCUUGCAAACCAAUGAUCCUUGUUUAGAUCAUGCUGAAUGGGCACUGAGAAGAAGGAUAAACGCAAUCCAGUAAAAAAAGCCUUGACCGGCCCUUCACCUGCCUUCUCUCUUCUCACCAUCAGAGCACGACACCUUGUGGGGAGCAGGAAAGUGAGAGAGAGGAUAACUCGCUGUCUGAAGUCACUGGGUUGUUGACAGGACCAAAUGAGAUAACAAAUGCAAAACUCCAGACAAGGGGCAGGCACACACAAGGCUCUAUUACACGUGCUAUGAGGAUCCUGGCCUUCUCUCCAGAGAUGACAAGUAUUUGCCUCCUUCGGGUUAAUCAGGAAGACUUCUAUAAUUGGGAAACUUCCCUUCAACUCUUUGGUUAUGCUGUGGUACAGUUGGUACCAGAAAGGUAACAAUGCAUCCUGCGGAGUCUACAGAGAAAGCAGCAAUAGACACAUUUCUCAUCACAGCUGCACAGUUCCCCAUUGAUGGAUGUCCAAGGCCCCUAUUGACAAAUAUUUGAGUUAUUUCCAGCAUUUUGUUCUUACAAACGGAGUUGCAAUGAAUAUCCUCCUAUAGAUUAUAAAUGAACUUUGAAGCUUCAAAAACAUAAAUACUUUAGACCUUAUUUUGGAAAUUGUUAGAGAAUUCAUGGAUUAAAGAGUUUUGUUUGUUUAAACUUUUCUUAGUGUUUGCUAGCUAUGAUCAUAAAGAUUUCUCAUUUUUAUUAUACAGUAAAAUUCCCUAUGUGUCCCAGUAUAUGACCAACUGCUGCAGACAGUCUGUGGAUGCAUGAAAGGAGGAGCAUCUGCUUGUAAGAUACAAAGAACCAUGCCCAGCUUAAAGGAGGCACUCAUUUAUUGAGUUAUGGAGAAAAGAAGAGAGAAAGAGGAGGAGGGAUGGUUGUGGAGGAAAGGAGAUGGAAGAGCAUUAUGAACACAAC
rnacentral:lncRNA from 1 species